AGGACGAACGCUGGCGGCGUGCUUAACACAUGCAAGUCGAACGGAAAGGCCCGCUUGCGGGUACUCGAGUGGCGAACGGGUGAGUAACACGUGGGCAACCUGCCCUCAGCUUUGGGAUAACUCUCGGAAACGGGUGCUAAUACCGAAUGUAGACAUUGUGCCGCAUGGUGUGGUGUUGAAAGUUUUCGGCUGGGGAUGGGCCCGCGGCCUAUCAGCUUGUUGGUGGGGUGAUGGCCUACCAAGGCGACGACGGGUA
rnacentral:rRNA from 1 species